rnacentral:tRNA from 5 species
GUCAGGAUAGCUCAGUUGGUAGA